UAGAAAAGAGACAUUGCCACACUGAAUAUGCCUGAUUUUGUCAGAUCUCGAAAGCUAAGCAGGGUGAAGCCUGGAUGGUACUUAGAUGGGAGAAAAGAGGUGCUGUGCUGU
rnacentral:rRNA from 1 species